GAUGAACGCUGGCGGCGUGCUUAACACAUGCAAGUCGAACGGUGAAGCAGGAGCUUGCUCCUGUGGAUCAGUGGCGAACGGGUGAGUAACACGUGAGCAAUCUGCCCCGAACUCUGGGAUAAGCACUGGAAACGGUGUCUAAUACCGGAUACGACGCGCGACGGCAUCGUCUGCGCGUGGAAAGAACUUCGGUUCGGGAUGAGCUCGCGGCCUAUCAGCUUGCUGGUGAGGUAAUGGCUCACCAAGGCGACGACGGGUAGCCGGCCUGAGAGGGGGAACGGCCACACUGGGACGGAGACACGGCCCAGACGCCUACGGGAGGCAGCAGUGGGGAAUAGUGCACAAUGGGCGCAAGCCUGAUGCAGCAACGCCGCGGGGGGGACGACGGCCUUCGGGUUGUAAACCUCUUUUAGUAGGGAAGAAGCGAAAGUGACGGUACCUGCAGAAAAAGCACCGGCUAACUACGUGCCAGCAGCCGCCGUAAGAC
rnacentral:rRNA from 1 species